rnacentral:rRNA from 1 species
GAUGAACGCUAGCGGCAGGCUUAAUACAUGCAAGUCGAGGGGCAGCAUGACUGUAGCAAUACAGUUGAUGGCGACCGGCAAACGGGUGCGGAACACGUACAGAACCUUCCUUCGAGCGGGGAAUAGCCCAGAGAAAUUUGGAUUAAUACCCCAUAGUAUAUUGGAGUGGCAUCACUUUGAUAUUAAAGAUUUAUCACUUGAAGAUGGCUGUGCGGCUGAUUAGGUAGUUGGCGGGGUAACGGCCCACCAAGCCUGCGAUCAGUAACUGGUGUGAGAGCACGACCAGUCACACGGGCACUGAGACACGGGCCCGACUCCUACGGGAGGCAGCAGUAAGGAAUAUUGGUCAAUGGACGAAAGUAUGAACCAGCCAUGCCGCGUGGAGGAUGAAGGUCCUCUGGAUUGUAAACUUCUUUUAUAUGGGACGAAAAAAGGCUUUUCUAAGUCGUCUGACGGUACCAUAUGAAUAAGCACCGGCUAACUCCGUGCCAGCCGCCGCGGUAAAAC